UACGGGGGGAGCAAGCGUUGUUCGGAUUUACUGGGCGUAAAGGGCGCGUAGGCGGCGCGACAAGUCACUUGUGAAAUCUCCGGGCUUAACCCGGAGCGGCCAAGUGAUACUGUAGUGCUAGAGUGCGGAAGGGGCUACUGGAAUUCUCGGUGUAGCGGUGAAAUGCGUAGAUAUCGAGAGGAACACCUGCGGCGAAGGCGGGUUGCUGGGCUGACACUGACGCUGAGGCGCGAAAGCUAGGGGAGCGAACGGG
rnacentral:rRNA from 1 species